rnacentral:lncRNA from 1 species
GAGACAGACCUUGCAGAUCUAUCCUACUGCAGCCUUUCUUGUAGAUCUGUUGAUGGAGAUCUCACCCGUGCCUCAAACGACCUCAGAUUAACUCCAGAUCUGAGAGGAACUUGUACCAACCUCUUCUCAAGAGAUUUCAAAUCUUGGACCUAGUGUUUGGGUGACUGCAAGAGAGGGAGAGAAGAAAAUGGCUAGCGGCUGCAAGGGGGAAGGGGCUAGCGCCUCCCCUUCUUCUCUUUCCUUUUAUGGACUGGCGGCAAGAAACCCUAGGAUUUCUUGCUCCUGGGGCAUGGAGGAUGGUUGGAGAGAGAGGGAGAAGAGAGAGAGAGAGACUUGGGAGAAAGAGUC